GGUUAAGCGACUAAGCGUACACGGUGGAUGCCCUGGCAGUCAGAGGCGAUGAAGGACGUGCUAAUCUGCGAAAAGCGUCGGUAAGGUGAUAUGAACCGUUAUAACCGGCGAUGUCCGAAUGGGGAAACCCAGUGCAAUUCGUUGCACUAUCGUUAACUGAAUACAUAGGUUAACGAGGCGAACCGGGGGAACUGAAACAUCUAAGUACCCCGAGGAAAAGAAAUCAACCGAGAUUCCCCCAGUAGCGGCGAGCGAACGGGGAGCAGCCCAGAGUCUGAAUCAGCUUGUGUGUUAGUGGAACGGUCUGGAAAGUCCGACGGUACAGGGUGAUAGUCCCGUACACCAAAAUGCACAGGUUGUGAACUCGAAGAGUAGGGCGGGACACGUGGUAUCCUGUCUGAAUAUGGGGGGACCAUCCUCCAAGGCUAAAUACUCCUGACUGACCGAUAGUGAACCAGUACCGUGAGGGAAAGGCGAAAAGAACCCCGGCGAGGGGAGUGAAAAAGAACCUGAAACCGUGUACGUACAAGCAGUGGGAGCACCUUCGGGUGUGACUGCGUACCUUUUGUAUAAUGGGUCAGCGACUUAUAUUCUGUAGCAAGGUUAACCGUAUAGGGGAGCCGCAGGGAAACCGAGUCUUAACUGGGCGUUAAGUUGCAGGGUAUAGACCCGAAACCCGGUGAUCUAGCCAUGGGCAGGUUGAAGGUUGGGUAACACUAACUGGAGGACCGAACCGACUAAUGUUGAAAAAUUAGCGGAUGACUUGUGGCUGGGGGUGAAAGGCCAAUCAAACCGGGAGAUAGCUGGUUCUCCCCGAAAGCUAUUUAGGUAGCGCCUCGUGAAUUCAUCUUCGGGGGUAGAGCACUGUUUCGGCUAGGGGGUCAUCCCGACUUACCAACCCGAUGCAAACUACGAAUACCGAAGAAUGUUAUCACGGGAGACACACGGCGGGUGCUAACGUCCGUCGUGAAGAGGGAAACAACCCAGACCGCCAGCUAAGGUCCCAAAGUCAUGGUUAAGUGGGAAACGAUGUGGGAAGGCACAGACAGCCAGGAUGUUGGCUUAGAAGCAGCCAUCAUUUAAAGAAAGCGUAAUAGCUCACUGGUCGAGUCGGCCUGCGCGGAAGAUGUAACGGGGCUAAACCAUGCACCGAAGCUGCGGCAGCGACACUAUGUGUUGUUGGGUAGGGGAGCGUUCUGUAAGCCUGCGAAGGUGACCUGUGAGGGUUGCUGGAGGUAUCAGAAGUGCGAAUGCUGACAUAAGUAACGAUAAAGCGGGUGAAAAGCCCGCUCGCCGGAAGACCAAGGGUUCCUGUCCAACGUUAAUCGGGGCAGGGUGAGUCGACCCCUAAGGCGAGGCCGAAAGGCGUAGUCGAUGGGAAACAGGUUAAUAUUCCUGUACUUGGUGUUACUGCGAAGGGGGGACGGAGAAGGCUAUGUUAGCCGGGCGACGGUUGUCCCGGUUUAAGCAUGUAGGCUGGUUAUCCAGGCAAAUCCGGAUAAUCAAGGCUGAGGUGUGAUGACGAGGCACUACGGUGCUGAAGUAACAAAUGCCCUGCUUCCAGGAAAAGCCUCUAAGCAUCAGGUAACAUCAAAUCGUACCCCAAACCGACACAGGUGGUCAGGUAGAGAAUACCAAGGCGCUUGAGAGAACUCGGGUGAAGGAACUAGGCAAAAUGGUGCCGUAACUUCGGGAGAAGGCACGCUGGUGUGUAGGUGAAGUCCCUGCGGAUGGAGCUGAGACCAGUCGAAGAUACCAGCUGGCUGCAACUGUUUAUUAAAAACACAGCACUGUGCAAACACGAAAGUGGACGUAUACGGUGUGACGCCUGCCCGGUGCCGGAAGGUUAAUUGAUGGGGUUAUCCGUAAGGAGAAGCUCUUGAUCGAAGCCCCGGUAAACGGCGGCCGUAACUAUAACGGUCCUAAGGUAGCGAAAUUCCUUGUCGGGUAAGUUCCGACCUGCACGAAUGGCGUAAUGAUGGCCAGGCUGUCUCCACCCGAGACUCAGUGAAAUUGAACUCGCUGUGAAGAUGCAGUGUACCCGCGGCAAGACGGAAAGACCCCGUGAACCUUUACUAUAGCUUGACACUGAACAUUGAGCCUUGAUGUGUAGGAUAGGUGGGAGGCUUUGAAGCGUGGACGCCAGUCUGCGUGGAGCCAACCUUGAAAUACCACCCUUUAAUGUUUGAUGUUCUAACGUUGGCCCCUGACCGGGGUUGCGGACAGUGUCUGGUGGGUAGUUUGACUGGGGCGGUCUCCUCCCAAAGCGUAACGGAGGAGCACGAAGGUUAGCUAAUCCUGGUCGGACAUCAGGAGGUUAGUGCAAUGGCAUAAGCUAGCUUGACUGCGAGCGUGACGGCGCGAGCAGGUGCGAAAGCAGGUCAUAGUGAUCCGGUGGUUCUGAAUGGAAGGGCCAUCGCUCAACGGAUAAAAGGUACUCCGGGGAUAACAGGCUGAUACCGCCCAAGAGUUCAUAUCGACGGCGGUGUUUGGCACCUCGAUGUCGGCUCAUCACAUCCUGGGGCUGAAGUAGGUCCCAAGGGUAUGGCUGUUCGCCAUUUAAAGUGGUACGCGAGCUGGGUUUAGAACGUCGUGAGACAGUUCGGUCCCUAUCUGCCGUGGGCGCUGGAGAAUUGAGGGGGGCUGCUCCUAGUACGAGAGGACCGGAGUGGACGCAUCACUGGUGUUCGGGUUGUCAUGCCAAUGGCACUGCCCGGUAGCUAAAUGCGGAAGAGAUAAGUGCUGAAAGCAUCUAAGCACGAAACUUGCCCCGAGAUGAGUUCUCCCUGAGACUUUAAGUCUCCUGAAGGAACGUUAAAGACGAUGACGUUGAUAGGCCGGGUGUGUAAGCGCAGCGAUGCGUUGAGCUAACCGGUACUAAUGAACCGUGAGGCUUAACCUU
rnacentral:rRNA from 1 species